GACGAACGCUGGCGGCGUGCUUAACACAUGCAAGUCGAACGGUAAGGCCCUGUCUUUGUGGGGUUCUCGAGUGGCGAACGGGUGAGUCACACGUGAGUAACCUUCCCCUCACUUUUGGAUAACUUCAGGAAACUGGGGCUAAUACCGGAUAGGAGCUCCGGCUGCAUGGUGGGGGUUGGAAAGUUUCGGCGGGUGGGGAUGGACUCGCGGCUUAUCAGCUUGUUGGUGGGGUAGUGGCUUACCAAGGCUUUGACGGGUAGCCGGCCUGAGAGGGUGACCGGCCACAUUGGGACUGAGAUACGGCCCAGACUCCUACGGGAGGCAGCAGUGGGGAAUAUUGCACAAUGGGCGGAAGCCUGAUGCAGCAACGCCGCGUGCGGGAUGACGGCCUUCGGGUUGUAAACCGCUUUCGCCUGGGAAGAAGCGUGAGUGACGGUAAUGGGUAAAGAAGCACCGGCUAACUACGUG
rnacentral:rRNA from 1 species